UUGACGGGGACCCGCACAAGCGGUGGAUGAUGUGGAUUAAUUCGAUGCAACGCGAAGAACCUUACCUACCCUUGACAUGUCCGGAACUUGCCAGAGAUGGCUUGGUGCCGAAAGGGAAUCGGAACACAGGUGCUGCAUGGCUGUCGUCAGCUCGUGUCGUGAGAUGUUGGGUUAAGUCCCGCAACGAGCGCAACCCUUAUCAUUAGUUGCUACGCAAGGGCACUCUAAUGAGACUGCCGGUGACAAACCGGAGGAAGGUGGGGAUGACGUCAAGUCCUCAUGGCCCUUAUGGGUAGGGCUUCACACGUCAUACAAUGGUCGGUACAGAGGGUUGCCAAGCCGCGAGGCGGAGCCAAUCCCACAAAGCCGAUCGUAGUCCGGAUUGUUCUCUGCAACUCGACGAGCAUGAAGUCGGAAUCGCUAGUAAUCGCGGAUCAGCAUGUCGCGGUGAAUACGUUCCCGGGUCUU
rnacentral:rRNA from 1 species